rnacentral:misc_RNA from 1 species
CCGAGUUCAGGCGCGAGCCCACUCCCACCCGUGUGUUUCUACCCUGUUGCUUUGGCGGGCCCCUCUCGGGGCGCGCCAGAGGACCCCAAACUCUCUAUCACUGUCGUCCGAGUACUGUAAAUAGUUA